AACGAACGCUGGCGGCAGGCUUAACACAUGCAAGUCGAACGGAUCCUUCGGGAUUAGUGGCGGACGGGUGAGUAACGCGUGGGAACGUACCCUUUGCUACGGAAUAACUCAGGGAAACUUGAGCUAAUACCGUAUGUGCCCUACGGGGGAAAGAUUUAUCGGCAAAGGAUCGGCCCGCGUUGGAUUAGCUAGUUGGUGGGGUAAUGGCCUACCAAGGCGACGAUCCAUAGCUGGUCUGAGAGGAUGAUCAGCCACACUGGGACUGAGACACGGCCCAGACUCCUACGGGAGGCAGCAGUGGGGAAUAUUGGACAAUGGGCGCAAGCCUGAUCCAGCCAUGCCGCGUGAGUGAUGAAGGUCUUAGGAUUGUAAAGCUCUUUCACCGGUGAAGAUAAUGACGGUAGCCGGAGAAGAAGCCCCGGCUAACUUCGUG
rnacentral:rRNA from 1 species